rnacentral:rRNA from 1 species
GACGUAGGGCGCAAGCGUUGUCCGGAUUUAUUGGGCGUAAAGAGCUCGUAGGCGGCUCGUUGCGUCGGCUGUGAAAACCCGCAGCUCAACUGUGGGCUUGCAGCCGAUACGGGCGGGCUGGAGUUCGGUAGGGGAGACUGGAAUUCCUGGUGUAGCGGUGAAAUGCGCAGAUAUCAGGAGGAACACCGGUGGCGAAGGCGGGUCUCCGGGCCGAUACUGACGCUGAGGAGCGAAAGCGUGGGGAGCGAACAGG